rnacentral:rRNA from 1 species
GACAGAGGGUGCAAACGUUGUUCGGAAUUACUGGGCGUAAAGCGUGUGUAGGCGGCUACAUAAGUCGGAUGUGAAAGCCCCGGGCUCAACCCGGGAAGUGCACUCGAUACUGCGUAGCUUGAGUCUCGGAGAGGUUGGUGGAAUUCUCGGUGUAGAGGUGAAAUGCGUAGAUAUCGUAAGGAAGACCAGUGGCGAAGGCGGGUCUCUGGACAGUUCCUGACGCUGAGGCACGAAGGUCAGGGGAGCAAACGGG